rnacentral:rRNA from 1 species
GGCGUAAACAAAGGGAAGCGAAGUGGCGACAUGGAGCAAAUCCCAAAAAUAACGUCCCAGUUCGGAUUGUAGUCUGCAACCCGACUACAUGAAGCCGGAAUCGCUAGUAAUCGCGGAUCAGAAUGCCGCGGUGAAUACGUUCCCGGGUCUUGUACACACCGCCCGUCACACCAUGGGAGUCGGGAAUGCCCGAAGUCAGUGGCCCAACCGGGAAGGGGGGAGCUGCCGAAGGCAGGCCCGGUGACUGGGGUGAAGUCGUAACAAGGUAGC